GGAAGCUAGAGGAUCUUUUCUAAAUUAGCUGUGCGGGAGGCAGCAGCGUAACUCGUUCAGAUGACAGAGGCUAGAACUAUAUGCAGACCCCUUGGGCUGGAAUUAGCGCUACAGAAAUCGUUUGAAAUUGUGAACACACAGAGCUGUUUGACCUCCGAUGAUCAUGUGGCCGGACGUAAACACAGCCUUAAUCUCUCCUUACAUUUUACAAUCCUGAUAACUGUGUAAACCCAGUGUGCAGAUGGAAGGUCAAAAGGUGCAAAACCACGUAACAAAAAUGCCCCCGUGUACCCCCAGUUUCCCAGGAGAAAGGACGUGGAAGGUGAGGCCACGAACUGGACCGGGCAUGAAACCGAAGUGCCCCUCUCCUAGGGCUACUGAGCACGCAGUCAGCUUUCGUUGCAAUACAGUUGGGACAGUUGCAUGCAAAGGGUCUCUGUAUAACGGAACAUGGGAUUUUUAACCAACUUCCUGGGCUGCGAAAGAACACAUUCGAUAAGAAGCCACAAUCGUUUCAUGUCUUUUCGAAAUGCCUAUCUGUGCUGGGCGUAGAGCGGAAUUACAGAAAGGGCAUUACAGAUUUGGUCAAGACAUCUGUUCAUUUCCAUCACCGUACUAAUGAGUGUCUGGGCUAUUCAGUCCGUUGUAUGGAAGCAUACAUUUUUUCCUAAAUCCCUGCGGUAAAUCUUGAGAGAAAGAAAGCUUUCUUGACACACCAUCUAUGAAAUACUGGAGACAUUUGCCUUACUCUCACUCCUCUUCUUUCCUAUGUAAAAUGCAGACAGAUGACCAAAUACUCGGGGACAAACUGAAUAUGCCUGUCUUUGUGCUAAAAUACUCCAUAAAUCUUAAGGGUGUCCAAAGAUUCUUUAUCGUCCCUGUUUGUAAUCACUUUCUUACUUCCCCACACCAUAUGUAUGCUUCUUCCUCCGUCACCCUUUCUGCUGGAGGGCUCUUCGGAGCCUUUUAUAGUCUCGGCCGUUUCCAAGCAGAAGCUGUGAAAUGGCACGAAAUACUUUUUAAGGGCCACUCACCUAAUGAAAAGAAAAUGUCACAUCCCAAAAGGGGGAAAAUGAUUUUCUCCCUUUCAUAUCCUCCACAUGGCAUGGCCUUGGAUGACUUUUCAAAAGGUAUCUGUCUGUAGCGGUGGUUUGGGUUUGCUUUGGUUCGGUUUCCAAGUGACAGUAGUGACUUGUGGCAGCAGAAUAACGACCGAGGAACCGACGUGUGCUCUCAGCCCGGCUCCACCACCCACUCAUCCCGUAUCCGCAGGCCCAUCGUUAGCCUCCCCACUGGAUUGUUUUUUGGAAACUGCAAAACCAAGGUAGUGAUAUCUUUUGCCAUAGCCCUUUUAGGGAUGUUGGGGGGCAAGGGGAGGGGAAAAAAAAAGACAGUGACAUCUUGAUUGUUUUUGCUAAUGGGAGAAGCCGAGCGAUCUAAUCCAAAGGGAAUCCGAGCUCAUUGCAUGUCACUUUGGAAAGCACUUUGACGUGUAAGCGUACAGAGAUGGGAUUCAGACAAAGACCUCCCUCCGUGGAGGAGGACUUUUUUUUCAGUAUGUUCCUCCUAAUGUAGCUACCAGCCAGAAAGGGGGUAGCCCAGAGAAGCCUCAGCCCACGUAGAGAUCAGAGCUGAUUGUAUGAGUCAAUGCUUUUUUUUUUUUUUUCUUUUUCUUUUUAGCUCUUCUGAUGUGACACAUUCCUAUUCCUGUCGUUAUCACUUGGACCCCCACGCCGCACAUUUCUAAGAAUUAAAUGCCUAGAUGGAUUAAAUGUAGUGUGUGAAUAUUCUAUGUAACAGCCCAUAGAGUUUAACAAGUGACUUGAAUGAUUUUUCCUAACUUGUUUGCAACUGAUAGCUCAUAUUGAAUGUUUUUAUGUAAACUUUGUAUUGUUGGGAAGAAUUACCCAAUCAGAGAUUUAUAUUUUCAUAAAUGUUACAUUUAGUUAAAUUUUGUUACAGAGUUGUUACACUAGAAAAUUAUUGCAGUCUUCAAAGGAUGUACAGUCUUGUGUAUGUAUUGUUUGUAUGAAUAAAAGAUAAACUACU
rnacentral:lncRNA from 1 species